rnacentral:rRNA from 1 species
GACGAACGCUGGCGGCGUGCCUAACACAUGCAAGUCGAACGAGGUCCAUCCUUCGGGAGAAGACCUAGUGGCGAACGGGUGAGUAACACGUGAAGAACCUGCCCCGAAGACCGGGAUAACCCUCCGAAAGGAGAGCUAAUACCGGAUACCCCCACCGAACCGCAUGGUUUGGUGAGGAAAUGGAUUCCGCUUCGGGAGGGCUUCGCGGCCUAUCAGCUAGUUGGUGGGGUAACGGCCCACCAAGGCAUCGACGGGUAGCUGGUCUGAGAGGACGAUCAGCCACACUGGGACUGAGACACGGCCCAGACUCCUACGGGAGGCAGCAGUGGGGAAUCUUGCGCAAUGGGCGAAAGCCUGACGCAGCAACGCCGCGUGGGGGAUGAAGGCUCUCGGGUUGUAAACCCUUUCAGCAGGGACGAAUCAAGACGGUACCUGCAGAAGAAGCCCGGCUAACUACGUG